rnacentral:misc_RNA from 1 species
CAGAGUUAUCCAACUCCCAAACCCAUGUGAACUUAUCUCUUUGUUGCCUCGGCGCAAGCUACCCGGGACCUCGCGCCCCGGGCGGCCCGCCGGCGGACAAACCAAGACUCUUGUUAUCUUAGUUGAUUAUCUGAGCGUCUUAUUUAAUAAGUCA